rnacentral:lncRNA from 1 species
CCUGACGCUGGUUUUUCGACUUGGAUUCUGAAUGCAACAUGAAAUAUUUUGGACGGCAGAUGUCUCUACCAGGUAUGUGAUGCACACCACCUAUUUGACGAAAUGCUGAUUCCAUUUCUGUCUUUUAUACGGAUGUGAUAUCUAGAUUGAUUUGAGACAUGGUGAUGCACACCACCUAUUUGACGAAAUGCUGAUUCCAUUUCUGUCUUUUAUAGGGAUGUGAUAUUUAGAUUGAUUUGAGACAUGGUGCAUCAAUUUCCUACACUUUAUUUUGUUUGUAUUCUCUUUGUGUGAGAAAAGAGAGAUCAAAGUAAACUAGAAAUGGUCACAUAAAUGACAGUAUAAGCUAUGAUUUGGGGAGACCAAACAAUUCUUCUUGUCAAGUUGACCUCCAUUUGGCUCUACCAAUCAUAUAGUUCUGGAACUGGCAACUCAGUGUCCAUUGGACCCAAUUCCCAAAAUCUUAUUGCUGUGGAACAUGCAUAACAUCAUUCAAAGCA